rnacentral:rRNA from 1 species
UACGUAGGGGGCGAGCGUUGUCCGGAGUUACUGGGCGUAAAGCGCUUGUAGGCGGUCCACCAAGUUUGGGGUGACAGUUGCCGACUUAAUCGGCAAAGUGCCUCAAAGACUGGCGGACUUGAGGGCCACAGAGGGACAUGGAACUCCAGGUGUAGUGGUGAAAUGCGUAGAUAUCUGGAAGAACACCAAAGGCGAAGGCAGUGUCCUGGGUGGUCGCUGACGCUGAGAGGCGAAAGCGUGGGGAGCGAACCGG